AACGAACGCUGGCGGCAUGCCUAACACAUGCAAGUCGAACGAAGGCUUCGGCCUUAGUGGCGCACGGGUGCGUAACGCGUGGGAAUCUGCCCUUGGGUUCGGAAUAACUCAGAGAAAUUUGAGCUAAUACCGGAUGAUGACGUAAGUCCAAAGAUUUAUCGCCCAAGGAUGAGCCCGCGUAAGAUUAGCUAGUUGGUGGGGUAAAGGCCUACCAAGGCGACGAUCUUUAGCUGGUCUGAGAGGAUGAUCAGCCACACUGGGACUGAGACACGGCCCAGACUCCUACGGGAGGCAGCAGUGGGGAAUAUUGGACAAUGGGCGAAAGCCUGAUCCAGCAAUGCCGCGUGAGUGAUGAAGGCCUUAGGUUGUAAAGCUCUUUACCAGGGAUGAUAAUGACAGUACCUGGAGAAUAAGCUCCGGCUAACUCCGUGCCAGCAGCCG
rnacentral:rRNA from 1 species